AUGACCAGUGACUUUCCUUCCGUUACUGCAGAGUCCUUCCUUCAAGAGCUUAAAAGCUCACUGUUUGAGGAAAUACAUGAGGAUGAAACGGUACUUCAAGCCUCAACAGACUGGUCGACCCGAAAGAGCCUCAUAUCAGGGUGGUGGGAGAAAGAGAGACCCCGACUGGUCAACACCAUGGUGGCUGGACAACAUGCGGCAACUCGGAUCUGCCAACAUUGUGGAAAUGGUCCAGCCGUAAUCCGUUGUUGUGACUGCCGACCACACCCAUUCCUCUGUGGCCAGUGUGAUGUCAGGGUCCACCGAGGUCAAGUGUUCCACAACAGGGAUUCGAUGACACAUGCAUUCUUUCAUCCAUUGCCUCCCACAACUUGUGUUGUGGAGAGGGUUCUAACCCAGUGUGAGCGUCUUGUACCUUUGGAGAUGCCAGAGACAAUAUGCGGUUGUCUACGAGUAUCGUCCCAGUGUCAUCGCAGGACAGUCCAUAGUUGUGGUUACAAUGAAUGGGCGAUAUGAUCUCAGAUUGCCUCAGAUUAGAUGCAAAGCAUGUGAAGCCACUUGGAGUCCUGGAGUGGAUGACCUGAUCCGUAAUGACUACUGGCCUGCCACUUCUCACUAUUCAACUGUGUAUGCAACAGAUGUCCUUUUUUCUUUUUGAAGAGCUGAAGAUGGCAGCACCAGGGAUGUCUAGCCAAGCAUUUCUUAGAAUGCUGGAUCAACGCACUGUUCGAUUUGGCCGUGUAAGUAUUUGUGGUAAUAAUUGCGUAACUCCAUAAAUAAUACUAUGAGGGCAUGAUGAUGAUGAUAGUACACAUGAACAUUUGCACUGUUUAGGAAAAAAAAGUUGUGUUCAAUUUAGACCCUUUAUAAACAACCAUAAACUCAUGUUCUCUCAUCAGCAGUUUGCACUGAGACAUUUCCAACAGGUAAUUCUGAAGAUCUCAACUUCUACUCCAUUGGCUACAGACUUUGACAUCUUCUCCCCAAUAUCAUUUCCUGAUCCCAGAAGUGUUCCCUUGGAUUAAUGGCCCAAACACUGCACAGGCUUACUUCUAAACAAUAU
ensembl:lncRNA